UUUUUAUGAGAGUUUGAUCCUGGCUCAGGACGAACGCUGGCGGCGUGCCUAAUACAUGCAAGUCGAACGCUUCUUUUUCCACCGGAGCUUGCUCCACCGGAAAAAGAGGAGUGGCGAACGGGUGAGUAACACGUGGGUAACCUGCCCAUCAGAAGGGGAUAACACUUGGAAACAGGUGCUAAUACCGUAUAACAAUCGAAACCGCAUGGUUUUGAUUUGAAAGGCGCUUUCGGGUGUCGCUGAUGGAUGGACCCGCGGUGCAUUAGCUAGUUGGUGAGGUAACGGCUCACCAAGGCCACGAUGCAUAGCCGACCUGAGAGGGUGAUCGGCCACAUUGGGACUGAGACACGGCCCAAACUCCUACGGGAGGCAGCAGUAGGGAAUCUUCGGCAAUGGACGAAAGUCUGACCGAGCAACGCCGCGUGAGUGAAGAAGGUUUUCGGAUCGUAAAACUCUGUUGUUAGAGAAGAACAAGGAUGAGAGUAACUGUUCAUCCCUUGACGGUAUCUAACCAGAAAGCCACGGCUAACUACGUGCCAGCAGCCGCGGUAAUACGUAGGUGGCAAGCGUUGUCCGGAUUUAUUGGGCGUAAAGCGAGCGCAGGCGGUUUCUUAAGUCUGAUGUGAAAGCCCCCGGCUCAACCGGGGAGGGUCAUUGGAAACUGGGAGACUUGAGUGCAGAAGAGGAGAGUGGAAUUCCAUGUGUAGCGGUGAAAUGCGUAGAUAUAUGGAGGAACACCAGUGGCGAAGGCGGCUCUCUGGUCUGUAACUGACGCUGAGGCUCGAAAGCGUGGGGAGCAAACAGGAUUAGAUACCCUGGUAGUCCACGCCGUAAACGAUGAGUGCUAAGUGUUGGAGGGUUUCCGCCCUUCAGUGCUGCAGCUAACGCAUUAAGCACUCCGCCUGGGGAGUACGACCGCAAGGUUGAAACUCAAAGGAAUUGACGGGGGCCCGCACAAGCGGUGGAGCAUGUGGUUUAAUUCGAAGCAACGCGAAGAACCUUACCAGGUCUUGACAUCCUUUGACCACUCUAGAGAUAGAGCUUCCCCUUCGGGGGCAAAGUGACAGGUGGUGCAUGGUUGUCGUCAGCUCGUGUCGUGAGAUGUUGGGUUAAGUCCCGCAACGAGCGCAACCCUUAUUGUUAGUUGCCAUCAUUCAGUUGGGCACUCUAGCAAGACUGCCGGUGACAAACCGGAGGAAGGUGGGGAUGACGUCAAAUCAUCAUGCCCCUUAUGACCUGGGCUACACACGUGCUACAAUGGGAAGUACAACGAGUGCGAAGUCGCGAGGCUAAGCUAAUCUCUUAAAGCUUCUCUCAGUUCGGAUUGCAGGCUGCAACUCGCCUGCAUGAAGCCGGAAUCGCUAGUAAUCGCGGAUCAGCACGCCGCGGUGAAUACGUUCCCGGGCCUUGUACACACCGCCCGUCACACCACGAGAGUUUGUAACACCCGAAGUCGGUGAGGUAACCUUUUGGAGCCAGCCGCCUAAGGUGGGAUAGAUGAUUGGGGUGAAGUCGUAACAAGGUAGCCGUAUCGGAAGGUGCGGCUGGAUCACCUCCUUUCUAAGGAA
rnacentral:rRNA from 1 species